rfam:Ricinus communis cultivar Hale ctg_1100012281669, whole genome shotgun sequence.
GGGUGCGAUCAUACUAGCACUAAUGCACCGGAUCCCAUCAGUACUCCGAAGUUAAACGUGCUUGGGCGAGAGUAGUACUAAGAUGGGUGACCUCUUGGGAAGUCCUCGUGUUGCACCCC